rnacentral:rRNA from 1 species
GAUGAACGCUGGCGGCGUGCGUAACACAUGCAAGUUGAACGACGAUGCCAUGAAGUGGUAACACGGAGUGGUAUACGGAGUAGCGGACGGGUGAGUAAAGCAUGAGAAUCUGUCCUGUCGAGGGGGAUAACGUUCGGAAACGGACCCUAAUACCCCAUAGUCCGAGAGGUUAAAGGCAGCGAUGCGCGGCAGGAGGAGCUCGUGUCCUAUCAGCUGGUUGGUGAGGUAACGGCUCACCAAGGCUUCGACGGGUAGCCGGCCUGAGAGGGUGACCGGCCACACUGGAACUGAGACACGGUCCAGACUCCUACGGGAGGCAGCAGUGGGGAAUAUUGGGCAAUGGGAGGAAUCCUGACCCAGCGACGCCGCGUGAACGAAGACGGCCUUCGGGUUGUAAAGUUCUUUUAUGUGGGAAGAAUAAAGUGACGGUACCACAUGAAUAAGCCCGGCUA